rnacentral:rRNA from 1 species
GUCCAGACUCCUACGGGAGGCCGCAGUGGGGAAUAUUGCACAAUGGGGGAAACCCUGAUGCAGCAACGCCGCGUGGGUGAAGAAGUAUUUCGGUAUGUAAAGCCCUAUCAGCAGGGAAGAGAAUGACGGUACCUGACUAAGAAGCCCCGGCUGACUACGUGCCAGCAGCCGCGGUAAUACGUAGGGGGCAAGCGUUAUCCGGAUUUACUGGGUGUAAAGGGAGCGUAGACGGCGAUGCAAGUCUGAAGUGAAAGGCGGGGGCCCAACCCCUGGACUGCUUUGGAAACUGUAUGGCUGGAGUGCAGGAGAGGUAAGUGGAAUUCCUAGUGUAGCGGUGAAAUGCGUAGAUAUUAGGAGGAACACCAGUGGCGAAGGCGGCUUACUGGACUGUAACUGACGUUGAGGCUCGAAAGCGUGGGGAGCAAACAGGAUUAGAUACCCUAGUA